rnacentral:lncRNA from 10 species
CGCAGAGCUGCUGCAGCCUACUGGAGCUCCUGGUUCCCUUGCCCUGAAGUUGCCAUGUUUCUGGGCAUGUGUGGGCUCUGUGGCUCCUGCGCAGGCCUUUGUUCUACCCUGAACUAUGCCUCAGAGCACUGGGCCCCCACCUGCGUGCUCCGUCAGGCGGGGCCUAACCUUGCCGACAACACAGGACCUGUUUUCUGGACUCUGCGCUCUUCAGCUCUGCCCACCUAUCUGUAGAGCACACCCUCCAGAAGGGGAUUAUCCCUUCUGGGACAUCAUUUCUUUUCCCGGCUUCCCUGCACCCACAGAGUGAAGACAGGCUUCUACAGAAAACACAUUCCAGGGACAUAGGCACUACUUAACCGUGGAAUACUGAGACCAAAUCCAGUUGUUUUGACCCUAAGACCGAAGCAUUUUUCUGUUAUCCAUCUAUCGAAGCAUUCUUUCAUUCGGCAUUCACCCAGUGUCCUCCAGGUGAUAGAUUCUGGGGACAC